rnacentral:rRNA from 1 species
CCUACGGGGAGGCAGCAGUAAGGAAUAUUGGUCAAUGGACGCAAGUCUGAACCAGCCAUGCCGCGUGAAGGAUGAAGGCCCUCUGGGUUGUAAACUUCUUUUACAGGGGACGAAAAAAGGGAAUUCUUUCUCACUUGACGGUACCCUGGGAAUAAGCACCGGCUAACUCCGUGCCAGCAGCCGCGGUAAUACGGAGGGUGCAAGCGUUAUCCGGGAUUCACUGGGUUUAAAAGGGUGCGUAGGUGGGCAUUUAAGUCAGUGGUGAAAUCUCCGGGCUUAACCCGGGAAACUGCCAUUGAUACUAUUUGUCUUGAAUAUUGUGGAGGUAAGCGGAAUAUGUCAUGUAGCGGUGAAAUGCUUAGAUAUGACAUAGAACACCCAUUGCGAAGGCAGCUUACUACGCAAAUAUUGACACUGAGGCACGAAAGCGUGGGGAUCAAACAGGAUUAGAUACCCUGGUAGUCCACGCCCUAAACGAUGGAUACUCGACAUCAGCGACUACACAGUGUGUCUGAGAGAAGANAUAGUAUCCACCGUAGGAGUACGACCGACGAGUAGUAACGUAAAGUAAGUAGAGCGNGAGAGUGCGACGACGACGACGAGGGAGAGG